GACGAACGCUGGCGGCGUGCCUAAUACAUGCAAGUCGAACGCAGUGGGGACGGGUGAGUAACACGUGGGUAACCUCCCCAUCAGAGGGGAUAACACUUUGAAACAUGUGCUAAACCCAUACUGAUGGCUGGCCCCGCGGUGAAUUAGCUAGUCGGCGAGGUAACGGCUCACCAAGGCAACGAUGCGUAGCCGGCCUGAAAGGGUGAUCAGCGACACUGGUACUGAGACACGGCCCAGACUCCUACGGGAGGCAGCAUUAGGGAAUCUUUGGCAAGGGGCGAAAGACUGACCGAGCAAUGACGCGUGAGUGAAGAAGGUUUUCGGAUCGUAAAGCUCUGUUGUUAGAGAAGCGAUAUCUGACCAAAAAGCCCCGGCUAACUACGUGCCAGCAGCCGCGGUAAUAC
rnacentral:rRNA from 1 species